rnacentral:rRNA from 1 species
UACGGAGGGGGCUAGCGUUGUUCGGAAUUACUGGGCGUAAAGCGCACGUAGGCGACUUUUGUAAGUUAGAGGUGAAAGCCCGGGGGCUCAACUCCGGAACUGCCUUUAAGACUGCAUCGCUAGAAUUGUGGAGAGGUGAGUGGAAUUCCGAGUGUAGAGGUGAAAUUCGUAGAUAUUCGGAAGAACACCAGUGGCGAAGGCGACUCACUGGACACAUAUUGACGCUGAGGUGCGAAAC